rnacentral:rRNA from 1 species
CAGUAAGGAAUAUUGGUCAAUGGACGCAAGUCUGAACCAGCCAUGCCGCGUGGAGGAUGAAGGCCCUCUGGGUUGUAAACUUCUUUUAUUAGGGAAGAAACCGGUGUUUUCUAACGCCGUUGACGGUACCUGAUGAAUAAGCACCGGCUAACUCCGUGCCAGCAGCCGCGGUAAUACGGAGGGUGCAAGCGUUAUCCGGAUUCACUGGGUUUAAAGGGUGCGUAGGUGGGCAGGUAAGUCAGUGGUGAAAUCUCUGGGCUUAACCCAGAAACUGCCGUUGAUACUAUCUGUCUUGAAUGUAGUGGAGGUGAGCGGAAUAUGUCAUGUAGCGGUGAAAUGCUUAGAUAUGACAUAGAACAUCUAUUGCGAAGGCAGCUCGCUACACUAUUAUUGACACUGAGGCACGAAAGCGUGGGGAUCAAACAGGAUUAGA